AUUGAACGCUGGCGGCAUGCUUUACACAUGCAAGUCGAACGGUAACAGGUCUUCGGAUGCUGACGAGUGGCGAACGGGUGAGUAAUGCAUCGGAACGUGCCCAGUCGUGGGGGAUAACGCAGCGAAAGCUGCGCUAAUACCGCAUACGAUCUAUGGAUGAAAGCGGGGGACCGUAAGGCCUCGCGCGAUUGGAGCGGCCGAUGUCAGAUUAGGUAGUUGGUGGGGUAAAGGCCCACCAAGCCAACGAUCUGUAGCUGGUCUGAGAGGACGACCAGCAACACUGGGACUGGGACACGGCCCGGACUCCUACGGGAGGCAGCAGUGGGGAAUUUUGGACAAUGGGGGAAAGCCUGAUCAGCAAUGCCGCGUGCAGGAAGAAGGCCUUGGGGUUGUAAACUGCUUUUGUACGGAACGGAACGGCUCUCUCUAAUACAGAGGGCUAAUGACGGUACCGUAAGAAUAAGCACCGACUAACUACGUGCCAGCCGCCGCCGUAA
rnacentral:rRNA from 1 species